GUAGGUGGCAAGCGUUAUCCGGAAUUAUUGGGCGUAAAGCGCUCGCAGGCGGUCUUUUAAGUCUGAUGUGAAAGCCCACGGCUCAACCGUGGAGGGUCAUUGGAAACUGGGAGACUUGAGUGCAGAAGAGGAGAGUGGAAUUCCACGUGUAGCGGUGAAAUGCGUAGAGAUGUGGAGGAACACCAGUGGCGAAGGCGACUCUCUGGUCUGUAACUGACGCUGAGGAGCGAAAGCGUGGGGGAGCGAACAGGAUUAGAUACCCUGGUAGUCCACGCCGUAAACGAUGAGUGCUAAGUGUUAGAGGGUUUCCGCCCCCUUUAGUGCUGCAGCAAACGCAUUAAGCACUCCGCCUGGGGAGUACGGUCGCAAGACUG
rnacentral:rRNA from 1 species